rnacentral:rRNA from 1 species
CCUACGGGAGGCAGCAGUGGGGAAUCUUUGGCAAUGGGCGCAAGCCUGACCCAGCAACGCCGCGUGAAGGCAGAAGGCCCUCGGGUUGUAAACUUCUUUUAUUCGGGACGAAACAAAUGACGGUACCGAAUGAAUAAGCCACGGCUCAAUUCGUGCUAGCAGCCGCGGUAAUACGUAGGUGGCAAGCGUUAUCCGGAUUUACUGGGUGUAAAGGGGGUGUAGGCGGGAGAGCAAGUCAGGUGGGAAAUUACAGUGCUAAACCCUGGAACUGCGUUUGAAACUGUUCUGCUUGAGUGAUGGAGAGGCAGGCGGAAUUCCGUGUGUAGCGGUGAAAUGCGGAGAUAUACGGAGGAACACCAGUGGCGAAGGCGGCCUGCUGGACAUUAACUGACGCUGAGGCGCGAAAGCGUGGGGAGCAAACAGGAUUAGAUACCCGAGUAGUC